rnacentral:rRNA from 1 species
CCUACGGGACGCAGCAGUGGGGGAUAUUGCACAAUGGGGGGAACCCUGAUGCAGCGACGCCGCGUGGGUGAAGAAGCGCCUCGGCGCGUAAAGCCCUGUCAGCAGGGAAGAAAAUGACGGUACCUGAAGAAGAAGCCCCGGCUAACUACGUGCCAGCAGCCGCGGUAAUACGUAGAGGGCAAGCGUUAUCCGGAUUUACUGGGUGUAAAGGGGGCGCAGACGGCGAUGCAAGCCAGGAGUGAAAGCCCGGGGCCCAACCCCGGGACUGCUCUUGGAACUGCGUGGCUAGAGUGCAGGAGGGGCAG